rnacentral:lncRNA from 10 species
CAGGUCCGAAAAGAUAGCGGGAGUCGAGGAUGAAGGAAAUGGAGGGGAUGGAGGGGAGUUCCCCCCGGAGGUGGGACCGCGCCGGAGCCCAGAGUUGGAGCCUGACAGGGUGGAAGGCGGCGGGGACUUCGGGGUGACAGGCCGGGACCCCAGGCGUGGCUCGAUCACUCACCCUAGCUGGUCUCCGUCGAGCCACGGCGGCGCCGGGGAGGCGGGUCGGGCCUGCCUCGGAGCCUGUCCCCGGCCGCUCUGGCCGCGCUGAUGGGAUUCCCAGAAGCCCCAGGACGCCGCGGUGGUGUCGGGUCCGUUUCCGCCCCACCAGGCCGUAAACGCCCUGCUGGCGGGACACGGAUUCACGCGUUGCCCUUAGCGAGCGCUUGGUGAGCGCCCACUGUGUGCGCUGCGCAGUGCUGGGGGCCCAGUGGGGACACAGAGCCCCCGGACCUGCCCUCCCGAUGCUUGCAGCCCAGGGAGAUUUAUACUUUGUUUUAGUCCCUUCUGCCUCCCCAGUGCCCUAGAAAAGCUCGUGCACACAGUAGGUGAAUGCGGGUUGAAUAAAUGAGUAAUCGAGACAGAUUGUGA